CCCCACAUUCUGGAAACCUGUCUAAUUGAAUUAGUAAGCCAUCGGGGGGGUUCCUGUGCAGCCUUGCUGCUAAAGGUAACCGUUUCCACGCCGGACGCUAUGGUAGGGUUUUACGCGGGCUGCGUGCGGAUGAGUGUCCGUCUGCCACGGAAAAGCAGUACACCAAGCAACUGAAACGUGACAGGCAGCUCCUUCCCCACGUUCCCCUGCGGCGGGGCUCGGCUUGUACGCCACGGGCGCUGCGCGGCACAGGCUGCGCGGCGGCACCGGCUGCGCGGCUCGGCCGGCCAGCGCCGUACGGCCGGGCGCUGCGUGAGGCACCGACGCGCGGGCGGCCGGUCCGCAGCCGGGAGGGAGACUCCGCUCUGCUUCGCCCGCCACCCCCUCCUGCAGGAGCCGCGCUGCCGGCGGCUGCCGGGCUCCGCCACCGGGAACCGUCGGCUCCGACGAGGCGGAGGGGACGCGCCGCGCCCCGCAGCCCCAGCGCGGCCAGCAGCCGCGGAGCCGCGCGGCGCGGGCAGGAGGAAGAAAUAAUCUUACGGAAGAGAACAAUUUAUGGCUGCAGAGAAACCUGAGCCAGUAUUUACUUGUGUGAGUAAUCUCCAUGAUUGCCACAGACACAGUCUGAUUGCAAAUGGAAAACAGUAAGCCUGACUUCAAUCCCCAAGAAAAUCAUGGAGCCAAUUUUCCUGGAAGCCACAUCUGAAGGACACAAAGAUGACGGGGAACAGCCAGCACAGAUCUACCAUGUGGAAACAAAGCCUGGUCAAACUGAUGGCUAUUCUGUGAUGACGUGACUGACUCUGUGGACAAGGGAUAUGUAAUUUUUUUUUUUUUUUUUUUGUCAGAAGAGGAUUGAGAAGAAGUGCUAUAGACUGAAAUACGAUUACUUCCUUUUCCAGUUCAAAGAUGGAAACAAAUUUUAUCUUGGGGUAACAAAGACACCAAAAAUUACCCCUUAAAAGAGGAACAAAAGAUACACAAGGGAAUUUAAAUACAAUCUUUUCAAAAAAGAUAAUGGGGUUUGAGCUUGUUUAAACAACAUGCACCUAACAUAUGAAAGCUGUUACUCCAGGCUGAUACUGCAUGCAGGAACUUAGUAGCAUUCAGAGAUGACAGUCACAAUUAUUGAUGACAGUGAAAACCCAGACCUAGACAGCAUUAAAAAUAAAGGCUAUAAUCUUCAAUGAUGUGAGUUACAUGCAAUAACCCAGAGACAUAGGAAAGAAAAAAUCUUUUUUGAAAUCUGGCAUUGUUUGGAGAACUGGUGUAUGCACUGCUUAUGAACUUCUGUGAAUGCCUUGAGAAAGCUGGAUCUUGGAGCAUUUCAGAUGCUAUAAAGACAGUCACAGAAUGCGGAAUAACACAUACAGACCAGAUGUAAAAUCCACAUAAUAUUUUCCUGGAACAGGUUGAGACAAUAAACUGGCAGAAAUUCACUUUAUAUCGCUUACUAAAUAUAUUAAUAUACAAUUAUAAGUGAUG